GAUUUUCGGGUUAAACGGGGGAUUUCUGCAAAAAAAAAUCAUGAUUCUCGGGUAAAAUUUGGUGUAGUUGAAGAGAAAAUGCAUGAUUUUGGGGUUAAAUGGGGGAUUUUGGAAGAGAAAAUGCGUGUUGUUUGAGAUAAACAGGGGAUUUUUGUAGAGCGAAUGCAUGAUUUUGGGGUUAAAUGGGGGAUUUUCCAAGGGAAAAUUUGUGAUUUUCGGGUUAAAUGGGGGACUUUCCAAGGGAAAAGGCAUGAUUUUCUGGUUAAAUGGGGGAUUUUGGAAGAGCAAAUGUGUGAGUUUUGGUUAAAUGGGGGGUUUUCCAGAGCAAAUGCAUGACUUUCUGUUCAAUGGAGGAUUUUUGUGGUGAAAAUGCGUGGUGUUCAGGUUAAAGCAGGGAUUUUCGAUGAGAAAAUACAUGAUUUGGGGGUUGAAUGUGUUUGUUUGUUUGUUUGUUUUAAGAGAAAACUUGUGAUUUUUGAUGAAUUAUGUAUUUUUGAAGUGAAAAUGCGUGGUUUUCAGGUUAGAUCAGGGAUUCUUGAAGAGAAAAUGCAUCAUUGUCGGGUUACAUGGGGGAUUUCCAAAGAGAAAUCGCCUUUUUUUUUUUUUUUUUUCUGGUUAAAUGGGGGAUUCUUGAAGAGAAAUUGCAUUUUUUUC
ensembl:lncRNA